rnacentral:lncRNA from 1 species
GCUGCUGCCACUAGAUGUCUGCUGCCUGUCAUGGGAGCUUGGGCAUUUAUAGCUCAUUUGUAGACACCAAAUUGUGUUUUAAACUACAGCUGAAUCCCAUUUCUAAAUUCAGGUGAGAUAAACUGACUUCUUAGAAUUCAGGUUUAGCUUCUAGCAAUCAUUUUUUUCUCUUGCCUUGUUUUUCUCCUUUUCUUGCCACAGCUGGAGCCAUAACCACAAGCACAGUGUAAGGGAGAAGGUGGUGAUGCUUGCUGCUCCUCAUCUGGUGUGCAGCAGAGCAAGCAAGAGAGAGACAUGGGCUUUAAAAGAAUUUUUGGAGCAGAGUUCCCAAGAGGUAUUUUCAGGUUUAUUUCCUGAAAAUCAUAGAAUCAUGGAAACACAGAAUAUCCUGAGUUGGAAGAGAUUCAUCCGUAACAUGAAGUUCAACUCCUGGCCAAACACUACCUGAACUGUGCCAGGCUGGUGCUGUGAUUCUUGGUCCUUCCCUGGGGAGCCUGUUCCAGUGCUCAGCCACCCUCUGGGUGAAGAACCUUUUCCUAAUACCCAACCUAAACCUCCCCUGAAACAGCCUGAGGCCAUUCCCUCAGGUCCUGUCACCACAGAGGAGAGAUCAGUGCCUGCCUCUUCUCUUCCCCUCACAAGGAAGCUGCAGACUGCAAUGAGGUCUCCCCUCAGUCUCCUCCAGGCUGAACAAGCCUAGUGUCCUCAGCUGCUCCUCUUAAGGAGUUAAAUUGUUGAAAUCAAGUUUUUAGAUAAUUCAGAGUACCUUUCCUACCUGUUUAUUCCCAUUGAAAUGAACGGAACUUUUGUAUUUGAAGCACUACCUUGUCUGAGUAAGGCUGGCAGAUAUCAGAAAAAUAAAUGAUUUCUGGACUACUAGCA